GUUAUAUUUUCUUGCUGAACUGACCCCUUCCUCAUUAUACAAUGACCUUAUUUGUCUCUUCUUAUAGUUUUGGUCUUGAAAUCUAUUUUGUCUGAUGUAAGUACAGCAAAUUCGGCUUUUGGUUUCCAUUGUCAUGGAAUAUCUUUUUCUAUUCCUUUAUUUUCAGUCUAUGUGUGUUUUUAUAGGUGAGGUGUGUUUCUAACAGAUCAAUGGGUCUUAUUUUUUCAUCCAUUCAGCCACUCUAUGCCUUUUC
rnacentral:lncRNA from 1 species